GGGGCUGUUUUUGGAUUCGACAAAUUUUUUGAAAAUAUAGGCGCAUGUCGAGGAGCGGAGGACUCGUAAAAACCGCAAAAAUAAUAGUUGCAAAUAAUCACAAACUUGCUUUAGCAGCUUAAAAAACUGAUUAAGCCUUUCUAACUAUUCUUAUACUCUUUUAAGAAUAUUGAUAUUUCAGAAAGUUUACCUUAAAAAAGAGAUCUUGAUACUCAAUGAUGCUUAACAUUAUAUCUUGGAAUUUAUUUAAAAUAAGCAAAAUAUUUAAAAAUGUGUCUGUUCAUUUUAAAUAGAAAUCUCUCGAAAUAGACUAAACAUGUAGAACCUUUGUUCUAAAAAAGUUUGGACGCGGGUUCGAAUCCCGCCAGCUCCAA
rnacentral:tmRNA from 1 species